rnacentral:rRNA from 1 species
UACGGAAGGGGCAAGCGUUGUUCGGAAUCAUUGGGCGUAAAGGGCGCGUAGGUGGUUCUGUAUGUCUACCGUGAAAGCGUACGGCUCAACCCGUAUUUUGUCGGUGGAAACUGCAGGACUUGAGGCUGGGAGGGGCUGGUGGAAUUCCCUGUGUAGCGGUGAAAUGGCGUAGAGAUGGGGGAGAACACUCGUGGCGAAGGCGGCCAGCUAGACCAGUUCUGACACUGAGGCGCGACAGCGUGGGGAGCAAACAGG